UUGCCACCGUUAGCCUUCAUACUUAAAUAUUUUUGACAGGGACGCUUCACCCUACAACCAAGAGAAAAUAAUUGUUGCAAGUGAAAAAAUAAGAAAACAAAUGAACCGAAAAGAGAGACAGAGAGAGAGAGAGAGAGAGAGAGAGAGAGAGAGAGAGAGAGAGAGAGAGAGAGAGAGAGAGAGAGAAGCAAAAUGAACAAGAUUGAUAUCAAUGCAGCCUUGUCAGCUCUUCCACUCUCUUGCACAGCUCCUCCAUUGAAACACCCAUUGCCUUGGCAAUCUCAUCCAUCCGACUGCGGCUGAGAUCAAGGAAUGAUUCUAUUAGAUCUCCAUCCAAGAAAUUUUUGGCAUCUACAGUUUUCUUCUCAUUGUUGAAUGAUCUCCAUUGCUCAUGGCUCAACCCUCCGACACCCUUGAUCACUUUCCUUAAGUUUGAUUGGAGCUUCUCCAAAAAGACAUAUUGCUCGUGACGAAGUGAAGCUAUCACUCCAAUUACACCAUUAACAGUGCCAAAAAUAACAGUUGGGAUUUGGCCCA
rnacentral:misc_RNA from 1 species